rnacentral:rRNA from 1 species
UACGUAGGGACCGAGCGUUGUCCGGAAUCAUUGGGCGUAAAGAGCGUGUAGGCGGCCUGUUAAGUCUUGCGUGAAAUCUCGAGGCUCAACUUCGAGCUGUCGGUGGAAACUGUCUGGCUAGAGUCCGGAAGAGGAGAAUGGAAUUCCUGGUGUAGGGGUGAAAUUCGUUGAUAUCAGGAGGAACACCGGCGGCGAAGGCGGCCCCCUGGCCCGCAACUGACGCUCAUGGUCGAAAGCGUGGGGAGCAAACAGG